rnacentral:rRNA from 1 species
GACGAACGCUGGCGGCGUGCUUAACACAUGCGAGUCGAACGGAAAGGCCCUGCUUUUGUGGGGUGCUCGAGUGGCGAACGGGUGAGUAACAAGUGAGUAACCUGCCCUUGACUUUGGGAUAACUUCAGGAAACUGGGGCUAAUAACGGAUAGGAGCUCCUGCUGCAUGGUGGGGGUGGGAAAGUUUCGGCGGUUGGGGAUGGACUCGCGGCUUAUCAGCUUGUUGGUGGGGUAGUGGCUUACCAAGGCUUUGACGGGUAGCCGGCCUGAGAGGGUGACCGGCCACAUUGGGACUGAGAUACGGCCCAGACUCCUACGGGAGGCAGCAGUGGGGACUAUUGCACAAUGGGCGGAAGCCUGAUGCAGCAACGCCGCGUGCGGGAUGACGGCCUUCGGGUUGUAAACCGCUUUCGCCUGUGACGAAGCGUGAGUGACGGUAAUGGGUAAAGAAGCACCGGCUAACUACGUG